GCAGAAGUAUUGAGUUGUGUCCCUCUAUAUAUAUUUGCCCAACCCCUCCUACUGUUAUCAUCCAACUCCAAAUUAGGUUUUCUUUCCUUCUACUCCUUUUUUUUACUUUCCUUUUCUCCUUACCGGUUAGAUCUCAGCCGUUCUGAAGUUUUUUUAAUUAAAAGUAUUUUCUUCUGUUUACAAAAAUGUACAUUUUGGUGUUGUUCUAUACAUAUAUGUGUCUAUUUGAUUGUUCUUCAGAUUUCAGCAAUAUUUGCAUAUAUAGUUAUUUCUUUUGAUCAUUAUCCCCUUCCGUAUAUACUGUGAUUUGCUAAUAUGUGUGUUUUCCCCUUCACAUAGAUUUUAUUAUUGUUUUUCUUCAUUAGUUAUCUUGAAUCGAAAAGGGUCGAUGUUUUUUUAUCAGUUGAAAAUUUGUAUUAAAAGUGAGUCCAAGGGGGUACUCAAGAUUAUUUUUUUACCACAAACAUCAUUAAGUUACUUGUAGAUUUUGAAGGUAACUAGCUUGGCUUAAGUCCUAUUUUCUGCAGUUUUUUCGAGCUUAAUUUAGAGGUUGUGAAAGUAUGCAGUUUUUUCUUUGUUUAACUUUUUAAUUUUAAAAAAAUCUAACUUUAAUUACUGUGCCUAUGUAUGUUUCAUGUUGUCCCAUAUUUAAUUCCUCUUUAGUCAACAAAUUUUCUGUUAGAUUGUUCAUUCUUUGUGUAAAUUGACAGUU